GCCGGGGUGGCCUAGUUGGUUAGGGCGCGGCACUCAUAAUGCCGAAGUCACGGGUCCGAAUCCCGUUCCCGGCA
rnacentral:tRNA from 1 species